rnacentral:misc_RNA from 1 species
UACGUAGGUGUCAAGCGUUAUCCGGAAUUACUGGGCGUAAAGGGCACGCAGGCGGUUAGGGAAGUUCAGCGUGAAAGCUCCCGGCUUAACUGGGAGAGGUCGUUGAAGACUCCUUAACUUGAGACAGUGAGAGGGAGGCGGAAUUCCCGGUGUAGUGGUGGAAUGCGUAGAGAUCGGGAAGAACACCAGUGGCGAAAGCGGCCUUCUGGCACUGUUCUGACGCUGAGGUGCGAAAGCGUGGGGAGCAAACAGG